rnacentral:tRNA from 1 species
GCGGGCGGCACAAAACGGCAAGGCCCGUACUGCGAAGCUUUGCAGAUCAAUGCGGAGAAAAAAUUGGGGUUCGAUUCCCUUCGCCCGCUCCA